rnacentral:rRNA from 1 species
CUACGGGAGGCACCAGUGAGGAAUAUUGCACAAUGGGGGGAACCCUGAUGCAGCAACGCCGCGUGGAGGAUGACGCAUUUCGGUGUGUAAACUCCUUUUAUAUGUCAAGAAAAUGACGGUAGCAUAUGAAUAAGCACCGGCUAACCCCGUGCCAGCAGCCGCGGUAAUACGGAGGGUGCAAGCGUUACUCGGAAUCACUGGGCGUAAAGGACGCGUAGGCGGGUUGGAAAGUCAGGUGUGAAAUCCUACAGCUUAACUGUAGAACUGCACUUGAAACUUCUAAUCUAGAGUAUGGGAGGGGAGAUGGAAUUAGUGGUGUAGGGGUAAAAUGCGUAGAUAUCACUAGGAAUACCUAAAGCGAAGGCGAUCUCCUGGAACAUGACUGACGCUAAGGCGUGAAAGCGUGGGGAGCAAACAGGAUUAGAUACCCGUGUAGUC